rnacentral:rRNA from 1 species
UACGGAGGGUGCAAGCGUUAUCCGGAUUCACUGGGUUUAAAGGGUGCGUAGGCGGACAGGUAAGUCAGUGGUGAAAUCCCUGGGCUUAACUCAGAAACUGCCGUUGAUACUAUUUGUCUUGAAUGUCAUGGAGGUAAGCGGAAUAUGUCAUGUAGCGGUGAAAUGCUUAGAUAUGACAUAGAACACCGAUAGCGAAGGCAGCUUACUACAUGAAGAUUGACGCUGAGGCACGAAAGCGUGGGGAGCAAACAGG